UACGGAGGGGGCUAGCGUUGUUCGGAAUUACUGGGCGUAAAGCGCACGUAGGCGGCUUUGCAAGUCAGAGGUGAAAGCCCGGGGCUCAACCCCGGAAUUGCCUUUGAGACUGCAUCGCUAGAAUUGUGGAGAGGUAAGUGAAAUUCCGAGUGUAGAGGUGAAAUUCGUAGAUAUUCGGAAGAACACCAGUGGCGAAGGCGACUUACUGGACACAUAUUGACGCUGAGGUGCGAAAGCGUGGGGAGCAAACAGG
rnacentral:rRNA from 1 species